UACGGAGGGUGCGAGCGUUGUCCGGAAUCACUGGGCGUAAAGGGCGCGUAGGCGGCAUGCCAAGCGUGUGGUGAAAGCCCGGGGCUCAACCCCGGGGUCGGCCGUGCGGACUGGCGUGCUCGAGCACUGUAGGGGCGGGUGGAAUUCCGGGUGUAGCGGUGGAAUGCGUAGAGAGUCCGCAAGAACACCAGUGGCGAAGGCGGCUCACUGUCCCGGUACUCGGACGCUGAGGUGCGAAAGCGUGGGGAGCAAACAGGG
rnacentral:rRNA from 1 species